AGUCGAGCGAGCAGAACCAGCAGAUUUACUUCGGUAAUGAUGCUAGGGACGCGAGCGGCGGAUGGGUGAGUAACACGUGGGGAACCUGCCCCAUAGUCUGGGAUACCACUUGGAAACAGGUGCUAAUACCGGAUAAGAAAGCAGAUCGCAUGAUCAGCUUAUAAAAGACGGCGUAAGCUGUCGCUAUGGGAUGGCCCCGCGGUGCAUUAGCUAGUUGGUAAGGUAACGGCUUACCAAGGCAAUGAUGCAUAGCCGAGUUGAGAGACUGAACGGCCACAUUGGGACUGAGACACGGCCCAAACUCCUACGGGAGGCAGCAGUAGGGAAUCUUCCACAAUGGACGCAAGUCUGAUGGAGCAACGCCGCGUGAGUGAAGAAGGUUUUCGGAUCGUAAAGCUCUGUUGUUGGUGAAGAAGGAUAGAGGUAGUAACUGGCCUUUAUUUGACGGUAAUCAACCAGAAAGUCACGGCUAACUACGUGCCAGCAGCCGCGGUAAUACGUAGGUGGCAAGCGUUGUCCGGAUUUAUUGGGCGUAAAGCGAGCGCAGGCGGAAGAAUAAGUCUGAUGUGAAAGCCCUCGGCUUAACCGAGGAACUGCAUCGGAAACUGUUUUUCUUGAGUGCAGAAGAGGAGAGUGGAA
rnacentral:rRNA from 1 species